CACUGCCGACAUCUUUGGUCCUCUGCCGAGCCUGACUGUCCGUGGAAGGCCGGCUACACCAACGCCUGGAGGAGCACCAGGAAUACCCUCGGCGAACCUGUUUGAAGUUUCGAUUCUUCUCAUUCUGCGCUCGUGGGGAUUCUGAACUUUGUGCGUAUUUGAAACAAGUCCCGCUGGGUCUGUCAGCUGUACGGCUCCGGUGGAAAUGAUCUCCUGGCACAUAGCUAUAGAAAGUCAAGUGGCAGAAAUUAAACCACCACGGGACCGGGCAGGACAGAAACUUCUGUUUACAGAAACAAAACAAGCAAAAAAUUCACCUCGCUCCUUCAUCUUUCCUGCAUCUCCAACACCUCUUCCCUCAUCCAAGUGGCAUCAGGAGCUUGGGUGUGUGACCCAGUAUGACCUUUUGUCCAGUCAACCCUACCCACAAACAUUCAGUGCAAUUUAUCAUCGGCCUAGUUCAAGACCUCUGGCCUCUGGCACGCCUUCAUCACUGGACCCUCAUCGGAACGCCUCUCGGAUGUCCUACAGCUACCCUUCUGCAAGACUAGUCCCUUCAUGCACUCCAGCAGGCCAUAGAUUAGAU